AAAAAGGCAAACCCUGGGUUUCCGUGUCCAAUUUUGACUGUCCGUCUUAUAUGAAAUUUUUUUAUAAUUCGUAUUUUUAUUGUUGUUAGAUGAUAAAAUAUGAUUAAUA
rnacentral:pre_miRNA from 1 species